rnacentral:misc_RNA from 1 species
AAGACUAUAGACCUGCGGAGUACCUGCGGAGGGAUCAUUAUUGAUUUUUAAAGGAUGUGCUGGCUCCUCUGGAGCAUGUGCACUCCUAACAAAAAGCCAAUAUCCACCUGUGCACCUUUAAUAGGCAGGAAAAGACCUUGCCCAAAGGGCUUUUUUUGUCUAUGUUUUUUAUCACAAACCCUUGAUCUAUUUGAAUGCUUUAUACAAACAAAUAAUAUUUUGUAACACAACUUUUAACAA